rnacentral:rRNA from 1 species
UACGUAGGGGGCAAGCGUUGUCCGGAAUCAUUGGGCGUAAAGAGCGCGUAGGCGGUCCGGUAAGUCGGUUGUGAAAACUGGGGGCUCAACCCUCAGAGGCCGACCGAUACUGUCGGGCUAGAGUCCGGAAGAGGCGAGUGGAAUUCCUGGUGGUAGCGGUGAAAUGCGCAGAUAUCAGGAGGAACACCAAUGGCGAAGGCAGCUCGCUGGGACGGUACUGACGCUGAGGCGCGAAAGCGUGGGGAGCAAACAGG